rnacentral:rRNA from 1 species
UACGUAGGGGGCUAGCGUUGUCCGGAUUUAUUGGGCGUAAAGAGCGUGUAGGCGGCCUGAAAGGUCAGCUGUGAAAACUCGAGGCUCAACCUCGAGACGUCGGUUGAAACCAUCUGGCUAGAGUCCGGAAGAGGAGAGUGGAAUUCCCGGUGUAGCGGUGAAAUGCGCAGAUAUCGGGAAGAACACCCGUGGCGAAGGCGGCUCUCUGGGACGGUACUGACGCUGAGACGCGAAAAGCGUGGGGAGCGAACAGG